rnacentral:miRNA from 1 species
AUGUGGAAUUGAGAGGGAAAAUGAGAGAGGAGGAUGGAAGGGAUGAGUAACAAAAAUGAAAACAAAAACAAAAAACUGAAAUCUAUUUGAAAUUGUUUUCACCUUUGUAUCUCUCCCUUCCUCUCUUCUCAUCCUCUCUCCCAAUAUCUUCCU